rnacentral:lncRNA from 1 species
CUGGCGGCGUGCGUGACCGCCGGCAACCAGAGGCGGGGCCGAGGCAACAGCCGGGGCGCUGUCCGCAGUGGGGAUGGCGACGCGGACCACGGCUGCCCCUCUGCCCACCUCAGUGGGCCUGUGCAUCUGGGCUGCCUCGCCUGCAGGUUUCCGCUCAGUUCAGGGGAGGCGGGUGCGGGAGGGAGCAGAGCCCGUCAGACCCCACAGGGACACGUGAGACGCCUGCUGCUACCACACACGCCUGCACCAUCAACAUACAAAGAGAAACGGCUUACUGCACCUCAGUCUCAAAGGCUGUGUUCAGGACUGGGUGGCCCUGCAGCCAUGGGGCCCGGGACAAGGCACCAGGACAUCAAAACUGCUCACCUCACAGUGGCCAGGAAGCAACGGAGAGGAGACGGCCAGCGUCUCACGGUCCCUUUCAGGAGCGCCCCUUGAUCAACACAAGCUCUCCAGGCACCACCUCAAAGGUUUUAGCACUUGCAGCAGUGCCACACUGAGUCCAUCCUCUAAUCUCGGGUCUCAGGGGACAUUCCAGAUCCAAACUGUCCAUCUGCCACCUGCUCCUGCAGGGACCCUUGCCAGCCAGGCCUGGCCUCACCGAGAGCUCUGCUCCUGGCCCCUGAGGGCUCCAUGGCCUCAGCAGGGACCAGGCUGCUCCUGCCCCCGAGGCUCAGCUGCCUGUCCUCGCUUGCAAGCUCAGGACAGUGUGCUGAAGGCCCCGGUGUCACUCCUGAGCUGGGCCCCCACUCACUGGGCAUCUACUGAAGAAAACUCAGCCCCUCCCACAUCAACCUCCUGAGGAAGGCGACUUCCACGCAGAUGCCGCCAACGGCAGUGCUUGCCUGCGGUGUCUCUGUGUGGAGGCCUUGGCUACCUCUUCCAACAGCUCUGAGGGCAGGCGGCACGGAUUCCAUGCUUGCUGAGGGUGACAUGCUAGGACUGGAAUGCGCCCACCUGCCUCCUGACCCUGACCUCUGCUGCUCUACUCUGUCCAGAUGAUUCAGAGGAGCGAAAUGUCCGGCACCUCCAGGGAAAUUUGCCUUUUUUUUCUUUUUAUAAAAUUCAG